CCUCCGGUAGCUUAUGUUUAAAGCUUUGAAAUUUUAAUUCUACAAAGACGCCUAGUCUCGGGGGU
rnacentral:tRNA from 1 species